CAAAAGGAAAGGUUUGCCGUAAACUCGCCGCAACUUUGCCGCAAAUUCGCUGCAAACCUUUUAGUUCGCCGAAACACUGUGUCAAGAGUUUGCCAGAUAUCGCCACUAGUGGCAACUCUGUAGCAAACAUUUGGCGACUUUGCGGCAAAUUCACCAGAAUAUUAAGUAGUUCGCCAAAAGUUUGCCAGAAACUUUCAGUGGAAAACUAAUUUGCCAGAGAUUGCCAGAAUCUUUCUAUGAAAAAAAAAUUCACUGAAAGUUCACCAGAAACUUUUCUAUAAAAACAAGUUUGCCAGAUAAUCGCCACAAACACAUCAGUUCUGAAAGUUAAUCAACUUUGUUCAGUAAAUAACUAUUUUGCCAAGGAAUUAUAUUAUUAUGCACAUAUAAAAAAAGUCCUUCAUGUACCUACCUAUAUAUAACCUACCUACCUACCUACCUACCUACCCAACCCUAUUUUAAUGGGUCGGGAAGUGGAAACAAACAUAUUUUUAUUUUUUGCCUAAGAGUUAUCAAAUUGAAACAUCAUAUGUAUCAUGGAGGGUAUUGUAGUUCACAAUAACAGUUAAAAAAUUAUAAGGUAGAAGACCCAUAAUGAAAUCGGCAAUCUUCGACAAUUACCGCCAUAUCUCGCGAUUUAUCGUAACGAACUUCGUUUGUUUACGUAUAAAGUCGGAAUUCUAAUAAUAGCGGAUAUCCCCGGUCACGUGGUAGUAUUCCCCAAGAAAAUGACGUAAUUUCCGUAGAUAACUAACAUGGCGUCUUACAGGCGUGAUACGCUCGGUCGAUUCAAAAAAGUGUAAAAAGAUGCAGAAAACCCAAGUCUUGCGACUUAAUUAUAGAACAUAACUAUAGUGCAGGUAACCAGUAUUACGGGUCAACCAAACCAGCUCUACAAAACAUCAACUCUUCCUAAAUCGGUUGAUAAUGAGGGUUGGAAAAAGGGAAGAAGAAUCGUUGAGACUUGAGUUUGGCGUGUUACGGUCAACCCUAAGAUUUUGUAAAAAAUGUAGACUUGGACCAGUAGGCUACCAUUAACUUUUGACAACAUGUUAGGAGAAUUUAAACAGGGUGUGUCUGGAUAUUUGUAUGUGAAAUGUCGAAACACAGAAAUUAUGCGGUCAUGUGAAUUGUGUUCCCUAUGGAAAAACACAGACUCUAGUAGUAGUAGAUUGAAGACCUGGGAAAGUUGGAAUGCCAUGUUUCGUUGUCAACACAAAAUUAGGACCAGCAAUGAUUGAUAGUGUAGGUGGGCCGGUGAGGGGAGGGUCAACAAUUUGUUGUCAACACUCAAUAUACCAACAAUUGGAAAUAAAAACAUGAAAAGAAAUGGAGAGACGUGUUGGAAAUAUCAUUGAGACAGUGGCUUCUAUCUGUCUAUGUCGACAGAAUCUGCUGCGAAAGAUCAAGGAAAUUGAGGAUGUGCAUCAUGAAGAAUCAAUGGUAUCAGAACACAACAUCAUGGAAGAUCUUAUUGACAAGAUCUUGGAGGAUGUCCUUUGCCAGAUGCCUCGCCAGCACUAAAGUCUAUUCUUCAGUCAGAUGCUACAGUUACAAAUGACAGUGAAUGGUCAGAUUUAUACAAUUGUGAUGAACAAUCCUCAACAAUACAUCAAACAAAAAUUGCUAUUAAACUUGUACUGCAUCAAUAAACUAAAUAUGGAGAGUAGCUUAGUCACCAAAGCAGUCAACACCAAAAUACACACAAUGGCCAGGGCACUGAAACUUGGAAGAGUGAAAGAGUAAAGUAGUGCGUUUUUAGCUUACAAAGUGACAUUGCGAGCUUUUGUCUAUCAUUCCUCCGUAAACUUGAUCUUUAAACAACAUCUCAUAAAUUGCCAAGCCAAUUUCAUGCAAACUUACAAUAUUGUCUAGUCAGUUUUUGUUUUGCUUGCAAUUGUUAUAUGACAUGACUAAAGACAUUUAGUUUUAUUCUUCAGUUAUUAUGUUUAUGUUUGUAUAAGACCCAAAUAUAUUGUUAAGAUUCAUUUUUACACAUUUGAAAGCCAUUAUUGUUCUAGUCAGUUUUUGUUUUGCUUGCAAUCGUUAUAUGACAUGACUAAAGACAUUUAGUUUUAAUCUUUAAUAAUUAUGUCUAUAUUUGUAUAA